rnacentral:rRNA from 1 species
AUUGAACGCUGGCGGCAGGCUUAACACAUGCAAGUCGAGCGGAGAUGAGGUGCUUGCACCUUAUCUUAGCGGCGGACGGGUGAGUAAUGCUUAGGAAUCUGCCUAUUAGUGGGGGACGACAUUCCGAAAGGAAUGCUAAUACCGCAUACGUCCUACGGGAGAAAGCAGGGGAUCCUCGGACCUUGCGCUAAUAGAUGAGCCUAAGUCGGAUUAGCUAGUUGGUGGGGUAAAGGCCGACCAAGGCGACGAUCUGUAGCGGGUCUGAGAGGAUGAUCCGCCACACUGGGACUGAGACACGGCCCAGACUCCUACGGGAGGCAGCAGUGGGGAAUAUUGGACAAUGGGGGGAACCCUGAUCCAGCCAUGCCGCGUGUGUGAAGAAGGCCUUAUGGUUGUAAAGCACUUUAAGCGAGGAGGAGGCUACUGAGACUAAUACUCUUGGAUAGUGGACGUUACUCGCAGAAUAAGCACCGGCUAACUCUGUGCCAGCAGCCGCCGUAACAC